rnacentral:antisense_RNA from 1 species
CGGGCCGUGAAGUCCCACUUCUUGGCCUGCCCGGACAGCACCCGGCCGCCGAAGGUGUCCCCGUCGGCCAGCAGGCCGAUCACGGCCUCGUCGCCGUACGGACCCUCGCCGAUCUUCUCGACCUUGCCGUGCGCGAUCAGGUACACAUGGUCGGCCUUGCGGCCCUCCUGCACGAUGACCUGGCCCGGCGCGAACUCCUUCUGCACGAACUUGUCGGCCAGCGCACCGAGCACGUCGGCGUCCGAGAAGCCGCGCAGCAGCGGCAGUUCACCCAGCUCGGCGGGGAUCACCUGGACCUUCGAGCCGGUCUUCACGAAGGUCACCCGGCCGUCACCCACGGUGUACGACAGGCGGCGGUUGACCCGGUACGUCGCGCCGGGCACGUUCACCCAGGGGAUCAUGCGGGUCGCCCAGCGGGAGCUGAUCCCCUGCAUCUGGGGUUCGGACUUGGUGGUGGUGGCGAGAUUGCGCGCCGCCGCGGUGCUGAGGCUCUGCUGGUCCCGC